AUACGUAGGGUGCGAGCGUUAAUCGGAAUUACUGGGCGUAAAGCGUGCGCAGGCGGUUUUGUAAGUCAGAUGUGAAAUCCCCGGGCUUAACCUGGGAACUGCGUUUGAAACUGCAAGGCUAGAGUGUGGCAGAGGGGGGUGGAAUUCCGCGUGUAGCAGUGAAAUGCGUAGAGAUGUGGAGGAACACCAAUGGCGAAGGCAGCCCCCUGGGUCAACUCUGACGCUCAGGCACGAAAGCAUGGGGAGCAAACAGGAUUAGAAACCCCGGUAGUCC
rnacentral:rRNA from 1 species